ACGGAGGCUCUGGACCAAACGAAUUGGCAAGUGUUAUGGUUCAGAAGUUUGGCAUAUGUGUGUUCCUUUUCUAUUUGUAUAGUGUCGAAAGAAUCUCGGUAGCAUCAGAUAGUGUUAAAACAAAGCGAUCAUGGAAUUAGAAGGUGAGCUAGAAAGCAUCUUAUAUAAGGAAGGAAACUGAUUAUGUUUAUCGCAAGAAUUAUAUCUAAUGCUUGUCUUGAUUUCAAACAUGGCUCCAACAGUCCUCUUAGAUCAUGAACAACACCUUCAGUUUCUAUAUGAGACGUGUAUUGACCGUAGUCCAUGUUUCUAUAUACGUUCAAGUAUAUUUCUUAUUUUUCAGAAGGAAGUGCAAACAAUAAUAACAUGUGGCUGUUUUUGUUUUUAUGUAGCUGACGGAGUCUCUGGACCAAACGAAUUGGCAAGUGGUAUGGUUCAGAAGUUUAGCAUAUGUGUGUUCCUUUUUGAUUUGUAUGGUGUCGAAAGAAUCUCAACAGCAUCAGAUAGUGUUAAAAUCGGCGAUCAUGGAAUUAGAUGGCGACGGAGCCUCUGGACCAAACGAAUUGGCAAGUGUUAUGGUUCAGAAGUUUGGCUAGAAAGCAUCAGAUAGUCUUCUAUUGUAUUUUUGUUAGAAGGGCAAUGAUCAAGGCGGCUGACUUGUGCCUCCUUCUCUGGUGGAAAAGCGUUCGUGCCCCAGGGAUCACCGGCGAGACUUGGAGUCGCGGAGAAUCAGUGCUCGCAGCACCGCCCAGGAGAAAGAUUGCUGGCCAGACUUGGAAUCAUGGAGAACCAGGGCUCGCCUCCCGGCUCAGGAGAAAGUUUUGAAAACCAGAUGGUUGAUGUUGUAUAUGGUAAGAUUGAAAAAGAGGCGCCCAGAAUAAAAUUUCUGUUGAUUGAUCGCUGAUUUCUGUUCAAUCGCUGAUCUAUUUUGUAUAUGGAAAGAUUAAAAAAAGAGAAGGAAAGUGUUGAUGUUGUAC